GGAGCGAUUUGUUAUAUAAUUUUUAGCGAUUAUACGCAGAUCGAGAUCUCAAUACAUGUAACACUUUCCCAACCGAUAUAAAAUAUGGAGGUUAUUCAAGAUAUAAAACAGAAACCGCUGAGGAUUAGUUCAUUCAAAGUACGCAUUUUUCACGGUCAAGAGUAUAGAGUUCGAAAGAUUGCUUGAAACUGGAAAGAUGCAUUUAAUGCAUGAACGUGACUAUUAUACUGUCUACGAUCUAUCUAGCAUAAAAUUUUUUACUGACCACGUGUCGCACUGACACGAAACUUCUCGAACCACGGCCGCUCCAAAGCAUUUUUUGUCUAGACGUUGUGUCGAAGGGAUAGGAAACAAUUGUCGCGAUCCAAGAAGAUAAUUGAGCAAGGGCCAAGGACAUAAAGAAUGGUACGUUCAUUGUGUCAUGAUCUGUUGCAUAAUUGUUCAAAUAUGUUCGUUUACCAGUUGCAUAAAGACCAAAGUAAAUGGACCUACAAAAUGCAUUUAAAAUUUUUUAUUCACAUCACCACACUAUGAGGUUAUAAAUAAAUUUUUAUUGUCACGAUA